AUGCACACUCUAUUACUAUUUACUCUACACGACAUUUUCUUUUAUCAGAAUAGAAACUUCGUAUAUAAUCCCAGUUCUAUAAUUCAUCAUCGUAAAAUGUUAUAAUACUUGAAAAAACUCUUCUCUAUUGUUCUCUAAUAUGAAUUCACUUACUGUGGGUGAAUUUACUUCCGGAAGUGACUUUUGUCAGACCCCAGCAGUCCAACAUUGCAAAUGUUAUAAGCUCUCACUGACAAUGCAGAUCUGUCCUGGCUGACUCACUGAGUCGUUCUGACCCCCUCUGCAGGACACCAUUCAUAGAGAAUCACCUCUGGCAACCAGAACAACAGGCCACUUUAAAUGUGAAAAGCUCUCCCUGUUUGAGUCAGAUGGUUCUACCCUGAGGUUACUAGUAAGUAUCUUCUUCAGUGUUGCCUGUUAACAGCGAACAUCUUUCAUCGUUACAGUGUUUACUACACCAGCACAUGGCCAACAGGAAUCACAACACUUCCUAUUUCAGUGACAGAGGACAGCAGAUUCCAGUCGACGUAUUUUCUCUAGAGCCUUGGCUGUUUUCAUCCUAAUUAGGAGUGCCAUGGUGUGAUUGAGUGGGACAGAAUGCCUGCUUCAAUGGCUGUUACUCCGAAUGAUGUGGCUGUUAACGUCCUUCUGAGUUACGCCACUGCUAUCCGCAGGCUUGCACAACAAGCUCUCCCCGCCCCUCUUGAGGUGACCUCUUACACAUCUAGUAUGAACACAGCUGUCUGAAAUUAAGAACCGGGAUAAUAUGUGCUCUGUGUGUGUGUGUGUGUGUGUGUGUGUGUGUGUGUGUGUGUGUGUGUGUGUGUGUGUGUGUGUGUGUGUGUGAAAAAGGUGGCUUUGUCUACAUAAUUUUGUGCAUUUUAAGUUACCGUGCCUGCUUUCACAAGUGCUGCAAUGUUCUUGUGUCCUGCAAGGAAGGUGGGAGAGAACAAGUCUCUCUUCCUGAUCUAGCCACUCAAAGCCCACCUUCUGCCCUCCCUCCCUUUUUUUUGUUGCUGUUAGCCCCUUCUCGGGAAUGUUCCUCUCCAGGCCAGGGAGAAGUCACUACAAUGGAAUGCAGAGCAUGGCCUCUCCAAAAAGCACUGUUGACUUUAAAAGGCCAGAAUAUGAAAGCAAACACUCCCGUUCCAAUUCCACUCGAGUUUGUUCCAUGUGUUCUAAGAACCGUUCUUCACUUUUGGGCUUCAGAUUGAGAAAUGUGGUCUAAACACCAGAUAAAUCUCCUUUAUUAGAAAAAAACAGCUUCACUAUCAACAAUUUCACCAUCACUCUGGUACAGAUUGUCCAUGUGUAUUUGACAGGUUCACGCUGCUGGAAUAGGAAAAGAGAGAAAGUCAGGAAUGUGCUACUCUUUUCACAGAUUCUUCUUCGUCUGUUUCAUCUCGCUUAACCUACUGGAACGGUCCAGGCCGGGGGUGAGAGCAGUGCACACAGCAGUGGAAGAAAUCCCCCAGCACUUUUUGGAGGCAAUAGCUGGGUGCUGUUUGACCCUGAUAUGGCGGGCUUUUCAUUCUUGGAGGGCAAAAAGAAGGGGGGUUGGUGGGUUGUUCUGGCCUGUGACAUUGUUAAAUGACUGCAGUGGAUGGGAAUGGGGAAGAGGAAGGGGGGGGCAUGCGUCAGGUCGUGGGGGAAGGGAGGCUGUGGGAGGUGGCACUGACAUCGAUAGCGAGGAGAAAAAGAUGGGGAAAAAAAGGCAAAGAAUCUCAGCACCUGUUUCCAGGGCAACAGGGAGCUGCUGAACAUAAGUCUGACUUACCCCCUCCUCCUCCUCCUCCUCCUGCCUUUGCUGCACUGGCCUCACACAGAGAUGCAGGCACUUCAAGUGACUGAUCUUACACACAAAAGCAUAAAGCAAUGAUAAUGAUUUCAAUGUUUUCUUUCUUUUUUUUUAAAAAUUCUGUAGAUCUCAUUUAUUCUCUCUUGUCUGGAUGACCUGUGGAAUAUUCUUCAAACUCCAUUUGUUCCCUUAGUGUAUGGCAAGGUCUAAUCUAAUUAACUAAUUGAAGGGAUGAAAAAUCGAUAUUGCUUGUGAGGUUGUAAUGCUUUGACGGGCUCUAAUUUGUCCUCUCAUUACCUGGUCAGCUGACUCCUUUUGUUCCCUGCACCUCUGACAAAACGCUCACUCCCUACAGCACUUGUCUGGUUUCAAACCUCUAGAGUCACAUUCAGUCACGCUCAUCAAGACUGCAGAUCUAUUGUUCUUUUUUCAGCAGCUUCAGUCUAGCCUCUCUCUCUUUCUCUCUCUCUCUCUCUCCUUCCCUCCCUCCCUCCUGCUGUCUCUCUCUGCUGGAUAAUUCCCAUGAUAUGUUCUUGCCAUUGGCAUGGAAUGUACCAUUCCUGAACAGGGGGAUGACAAAAGGAAACUACAACUCUCUAGUUCAUUCUAUAUAUCACCGCAGCCCUGUUCUGCCUCAUACAUGUGCCAUUACUUACAACACAAUUAUUCAAAACUGAUACACACGCUGCUCAAAACUAUUUUGUAUGAUCCAAACGACUCAUUCUUCCUGCACCUCUGCUCCUGGCUGGGAGCCUCGGUGGUACGAUCCGUUCCCUCUUGGCAUGGUAAAGUGUCUGUUUUAUUGACUUGAUGUCUUAAGGGCAGUUCUCUUCCUCUUUUUCUGCAGAUAUAGCAUUGCCCUGUGAGAUCUUAACAAGAUAGAACAAGGAAGGAAUAUCAAUUACACCCUAGCAAAUGAGUUAGGGAUUGACAAACAAUAGAACAAGCAGACAUAAUUAACUUAAAGAGGUGUGCCUGAUGUCUAACGGCUGAAAAAGUACCUUUUUUAUUUUAUCUUUUUUAAAGAUCAGCGGAAAUGAAACAUACACUGAAAAAAGUACACUGAGAAACGCACACUGAAUAACAUACACUGAGCAGUGAAUCUAAAGAAAAAAUGAGCGAGAGAUUGAAAUGAAUGAAGAAUUAUUAGAAGUAUAUAUUUUUUUAAAUCCUAAAUUAGGCAAUGUUUAGGCAAAUGGGAAAAUGAUUGACAGUCCUUCAUAUCCUACAAUACAGUAUGGGUUGUAUAAAUAUGAAGAGGCCCUCAGUUUUCAAUCAAGAUAACAAGCGGAAAAGAUCUAAGUGACUUUGAAAGAGAGUUCAUUAAUGGGGCAGUGAUAAGAGUUUUUCUGUGUUUCAGAAGGAACAGUGACUAAUGUGACAUUUAUCAUUUAAAUCGAUGGGAACGGCAUGUUUUUGGGAGGAAACUGGAGAAUCCAGAAACCUACACAGACACAGGAAACAUGCAAUACCCCAACAUAUACACAGUAACCUGAGCUCGGGAUCGAACCUUAAGGAUCUCUUAACUAGCAUGUUUACUGCACUGGUUAACACUAACAAUCCAUUUACUUCAGCAUUAAUAAACCGCAAGGAAUGUUAGCAUGCAAAGUAAAAUGAUCUGCAUUGACUACUUUAUAAAACAAAUUAAACUGCAUCAUGUUCCUUAAACACAGCUUGUAGCAGUGCUGCCUGACAUGUCCAGGGUUUCUCUGCUCCAACAGUGAACUCGGGUUAUUGACGACUUCGAAUUUCUCAUGUUCUUCCCUGGGUUUCCUCUGGGUUCCCAGCUUUCCUUUCACCUCCCAAAAACGUGUUGUUAGGUAGAUUGCAGUCUCUUGUUGUGAAUUAUUGUGCGAAUAUAUCUGUACCUUGUGCAAUGCACUAUACAGACAUAUGAGUCAAUUCUCACCUCACACCCAGUGUGACUUCCUGAACUCAGAUUUUUCUGUGGUUUUGCCAAUUAAAAUCAUCAAACACGUUCAUUUCGGGAGCUUGUUGAUGUAAUAAACAUUGAUUCAACAAAGA